rnacentral:rRNA from 1 species
CGGAAAGGUCUCUUCGGAGAUACUCGAGUGGCGAACGGGUGAGUAACACGUGGGUGAUCUGCCCUGCACUUCGGGAUAAGCCUGGGAAACUGGGUCUAAUACCGGAUAGGACCACGGGAUGCAUGUCUUGUGGUGGAAAGCGCUUUAGCGGUGUGGGAUGAGCCCGCGGCCUAUCAGCUUGUUGGUGGGGUGACGGCCUACCAAGGCGACGACGGGUAGCCGGCCUGAGAGGGUGUCCGGCCACACUGGGACUGAGAUACGGCCCAGACUCCUACGGGAGGCAGCAGUGGGGAAUAUUGCACAAUGGGCGCAAGCCUGAUGCAGCGACGCCGCGUGGGGGAUGACGGCCUUCGGGUUGUAAACCUCUUUCACCAUCGACGAAGGUCCGGGUUCUCUCGGAUUGACGGUAGGUGGAGAAGAAGCACCGGCCAACUACGUGCCAUCAGCCGCGGUAAUACGUAGGGUGCGAGCGUUGUCCGGAAUUACUGGGCGUAAAGAGCUCGGACGUGGUUUG